GCGAGGCAGAGCGAAUCGCUAAAAGCCGUCCCAGUUCGGAUUGCAGGCUGCAACCCGCCUGCAUGAAGUUGGAAUCGCUAGUAAUCGCGGAUCAGCAUGCCGCGGUGAAUACGUUCCCGGGCCUUGUACACACCGCCCGUCACACCAUGAGAGUCGGGAACACCCGAAGUCCGUAGCCUGACCGCAAGGGGGGCGCGGCCGAAGGUGGGUUCGAUAAUUGGGGUGAAGUCGUAACAAGGUAGC
rnacentral:rRNA from 1 species